rnacentral:rRNA from 1 species
CGACCCCCCUUCCCAUUUUUUAUUCCAGCAGCAGACCCCCCAUUUUUAACGAAAAAAGCUCGGUUGGAGUCCAUCGGUCCCACAAAAAGUAUAGAUUUUCGGUAUUGUAGCAAGCUAACAUCGUAUCUAAGGCGUUAUCGCGUAGUGGGUUGCUCGUUUCGGCUCCAAAUCAUCAAAUAUUCAACUUUCAAAAAAAUUAAAAUCGAGGUAUUCUGACUUAUUUUUGUUAAAACUCAUAUAAAACUCAUGUAUAAAAAAUGCCUAUUAAUUUGUUUACUAUGUUCUAUGGUAUUUCGUAAUUGUUUUGUGAUUUAAUUAAUUUGUUAUUCUUUAUCCGGAUUAUAUUAUUAGUGUGCUAAAUAAAUUAGUAAAAUAGAGAAAUUGUUAUUUUAUAAAUAAUUAAGGUUUUUAGUUGUUAUAAAAAAUGGUAAUUAGUUACUGUUUACUGUGGUAUAUAUAUUUUCAUGAUUGUUUUGUGAUUAAAUCAAUUUGUUAUUUUUUAUCCGGAUUAGAUAAAUUAUGUGCUAAAACAUUAGUAAAAUAGAUAAAUUGUUAUUUUAGGAAUAAUUAAUCUUAUUUAGAUGUUAUUGUUUUACAUAUAUUAAUAUAUGACUUUAAUGUUAUUUAGUUCGUUGUAGUGUUAUGUUGUGCCUGUAAUUUUAAUGUAGUACCCGUAAUUUUAAUGUAGUCCUUUAGUGUAGUAAAAUGUAGUGCCCUUUUGCGUAGUAUCUUUGUAGUUAUUGAAAUUAAUCAUUUAAUUAUCUGUUAGUCCCAAAAAUAUAUGAAAACGAUGAUAGUUCAAACACAAACUCUCUCGAAUUCUACUAAACAAACAUAAGUAAAUAACAUUAAACAACAACAAUAUUUGUCAAACUAAGUAUGUUUAUAUGAAUAUUUAAUAAUUAAAUCAUGCAUAGUUAUGAAAAUUAAUUAUUUAAUUCUAUUAUACACAAAAAUAAGUGAGUAAGAAAAAAAACAUAUAAAAUAAUAAACUAACAUAUAAAUUAAUAAACAAACAUAUAAAAUAGUAAAUUAACAAAUAAAAUAAUAAACUAACAUAUAAAAUAAUAAACUAACAUAUACAAUAUUCAAAUGAGAACUUUCGAGGCCGAAGAGGGGAAAGGUUUCAUGUGAACGACACUUGCACAUGGGUUAGUCGAUCCUAAGGGUCGGGGUAACCCCGACAGAUAGCACGUUUCGCGCGUACUCCGAAAGGCAAUCGGGUUAAGAUUCCUGAAUCGGGACCUGGCAGUUGACGGCAACGUUAGGAAGUUCGGAGACGUCGGCGGGGGCCUCGGGAAGAGUUAUCUUUUCUGUUUAAUAGCCUGCCCACCUUGGAAACGACUCGGUCAGAGGUAGGGUCCAGUGGCUGGAAGAGCACCGCACGUCGCGUGGUGUCCGGUGUGCCCCCGGCGGCCCAUGAUAAUCCGGAGGAUUGAGUACUGUCCACGCCCGGUCAUACUCAUAACCACAUCAGGUGUCCAAGGUGAACAGUCUCUGGUCGAUGGAACAAUGUAGGCAAGGGAAGUCGGCAAAAUAGAUCCGUAACUUCGGGAAAAUGAUUGGCUCUGAGGGCUGGGUACGGAAGUCCUAGUUCCGAACCAGUCGGCUAUCGGUGGACUGCUCGAGCUGCUUCCGCGGCGAGAGCGGGUCACCGCAUGCCAACCGGGGGACAGACUGGGAACGGUUCCUUUGGAGGCCUUCCCCGGGCGUCAUACAUCCAACUCAUAACUGGUACGGACAAGGGGAAUCCGACUAUUUAGUUAAAACAAAGUAUCGCGAUGGUCCCUACGGAUGUUUAUGCAAUGUGAUUUCUGCCCAUUGCUCUAAAUGUCAAAGUGAAGAAAUUCAACAAGGCGCGGGUAAACGAUGGGAGUAACUAUGCCUCUCUUAAGGUAGCCAAAGGACUCAUUAUCUAAUUAGUGAUGCGCAUGAAUGGAUUAACGAGAUUCCUACUGUCCUUGUCUACUAUCCAGUGAAACCACAACCAAGGGAACAUGCUUGGCAGAAUAAUUGGGGAAAGAAGACCCUGUUGAGGUUGACUCUAGUCCGACUUUGUGAAAUGACUUGAGAGGUGUAGUAUAAGUGGGAGCCUAAAGGUGAAAGUGAAAUACCACUACUUUUAACGUUAUUUUACUUAUUCAGUGAAUCGAAAAUAGGGCACUGCCCCUUUUUUUGGACCCAAGUCUUGCUUGCAGGCCAAUCCGAGCGGAAGACAUUGUCUGGUGGGGAGUUUGGCUGGGGCGACACAUAUGUUAAAAGAUAACGCAAGUGUCCUAAGACAAGCUCAACGAGAACAGAAAUCUCGUGUGGAAUAGGAGGCUAAAAGGUCGUUUGAUUCUGAUUUCUAGUAUGAAUACGAACCAUGAAAGUGUGGCAUAAUGAUCCUUUAGACCUUCGAAAUUCAAAGCUAGAGGUGUCAGAAAAGUUACCACAGGGAUAACUGACUUGUGGUAGCCAAGCGUUCUCAAUGACAUUGCUCUUUAAUCCUUCGAUGUCGGCUCUUCCUAUCAUUAUAAAGCAGAAUUCACCAAGUGUUUGAUUGUUCACCCAUCAAUAGGGAACGUGAGAUGGGUUUAGACCGCCGUGAGACAGGUUAGUUUUACCCUACUGAUAACACCUUGGUACGUCAUUGCGUCAAAACAGUUCGUAAUGCAAGAAAA